rnacentral:rRNA from 1 species
AGAGCGAACGCUGGCGGCAGGCCUAACACAUGCAAGUCGAGCGCCCGUAGCAAUACGGGAGCGGCAGACGGGAUAGUAACACGUGGGAACGCGCCCUUCGGUUCGGAAUAACUCAGGGAAACUUGAGCUAAUACCGAAUACGCCCUUACGGGGAAAGAUUUAUUGCCGAAGGAACGGCCCGCGUCCGAUUAGCUAGUUGGUGAGGUAAUGGCUCACCAAGGCUACGAUCGGUAGCUGGUCUGAGAGGAUGACCAGCAUCACUGGGACUGAGACACGGCCCAGACUCCUACGGGAGGCAGCAGUGGGGAAUAUUGGACAAUGGGCGCAAGCCUGAUCCAGCCAUGCCGCGUGGAUGAUGAAGGCCUUAGGGUUGUAAAGUCCUUUUAACGGGGAAGUAUAAUGACGGUACCCGUAGAACUAAGCCCGGCUAACUUCGUGCCAGCAGCCGC